AUUGAACGCUGGCGGCAUGCUUUACACAUGCAAGUCGAACGGUAACAGGUUAAGCUGACGAGUGGCGAACGGGUGAGUAAUGCAUCGGAACGUGCCCGAUCGUGGGGGAUAACGCAGCGAAAGCUGCGCUAAUACCGCAUACGAUCUGAGGAUGAAAGCGGGGGACCGUAAGGCCUCGCGCGAUCGGAGCGGCCGAUGUCAGAUAGGUAGUUGGUGGGGUAAAGGCUCACCAAGCCGACGAUCUGUAGCUGGUCUGAGAGGACGACCAGCCACACUGGGACUGAGACACGGCCCAGACUCCUACGGGAGGCAGCAGUGGGGAAUUUUGGACAAUGGGCGAAAGCCUGAUCCAGCAAUGCCGCGCGCAGGAAGAAGGCCUUCGGGUUGUAAACUGCUUUUGUACGGAGCGAAAAGGCUUUCUCUAAUACAGGAGGCUGAUGACGGUACCGUAAGAAUAAGCACCGGCUAACUACGUGCCAGCAGCCGCCGUAAAAC
rnacentral:rRNA from 1 species